ensembl:rRNA 5S_rRNA 5S ribosomal RNA
GUCUGUGGCCAUACCAACCUGAACAUGCCUGAUCUCAUCUGAUCUCAGAAGCUAAGCAGGGUUGGGCCUGGAUAGUACUUGGAUGGAAGAGAUGCACAAAUGAAGACAGCAGCAUGAGCCU